CAGGUCCACUAGGGUGACGAAGUUCUGCAAAAAAACCGAAAAGUCGGUCAGUUCACUCCCCAAACUGGGGCGCAACCCUUAGACAGUUACUGCUUACCUUCUGCGUGUUGAAUUGGCCCUCAUUGUCCUGGCUGGAGGU